GGUGAGAUGGCCGAGCGGUCUAAGGCGCCAGACUAAGGUUAAUGACCAGGGUGUUCGACACCCUCCCAUCAUUUGAAAUUGGUGGUAUCUGGUCUUUCGGGGCAUGGGUUCGAAUCCCAUUCUCAUCA